rnacentral:rRNA from 1 species
GCAUCGAUGAAGAACGCAGCGAAAUGCGAUAAGUAAUGUGAAUUGCAGAAUUCAGUGAAUCAUCGAAUCUUUGAACGCACCUUGCGCUCCUUGGUAUUCCGAGGAGCAUGCCUGUUUGAGUGUCAUUAAAUUCUCAACCUCACCAGUUUUGUAACGAGACAGGUGAAGGCUUGGAUGUGGGGGUUUUGCAGGCUGCCUCAGUGCUGGUCUGCUCCCCUUAAAUGCAUUAGCGAGCUCAUAUUGAGCUUCCGUCUAUUGGUGUGAUAAUUAUCUACGCCGUGGAUUGGACUCAUGCUUGCUUCUAACCGUCCGCAAGGACAAUUUACUUGACCAAUUUGACCUCAAAUCAGGUAGGACUACCCGCUGAACUUAAGCAUAUCAAUAAGCGGAGGAGCAUCGAUGAAGAACGCAGCGAAAUGCGAUAAGUAAUGUGAAUUGCAGAAUUCAGUGAAUCAUCGAAUCUUUGAACGCACCUUGCGCUCCUUGGUAUUCCGAGGAGCAUGCCUGUUUGAGUGUCAUUAAAUUCUCAACCUCACCAGUUUUGUAACGAGACAGGUGAAGGCUUGGAUGUGGGGGUUUUGCAGGCUGCCUCAGUGCUGGUCUGCUCCCCUUAAAUGCAUUAGCGAGCUCAUAUUGAGCUUCCGUCUAUUGGUGUGAUAAUUAUCUACGCCGUGGAUUGGACUCAUGCUUGCUUCUAACCGUCCGCAAGGACAAUUUACUUGACCAAUUUGACCUCAAAUCAGGUAGGACUACCCGCUGAACUUAAGCAUAUCAAUAAGCGGAGGA